CCUACGGGGUGCAGCAGUGAGGAAUAUUGGUCAAUGGCCGUAAGGCUGAACCAGCCAAGUCGCGUGAAGGAAGAAGGAUCUAUGGUUUGUAAACUUCUUUUAUAGGGGAAUAAAGGUAUCCACGUGUGGAUAUUUGCAUGUACCCUAUGAAUAAGCAUCGGCUAACUCCGUGCCAGCAGCCGCGGUAAUACGGAGGAUGCGAGCGUUAUCCGGAUUUAUUGGGUUUAAAGGGUGCGUAGGUUGUUUUUUAAGUCAGCGGUGAAAGUUUGUGGCUCAACCAUAAAAUUGCCGUUGAAACUGGAAGACUUGAGUGUGUUUGAGGUAGGCGGAAUGCGUGGUGUAGCGGUGAAAUGCAUAGAUAUCACGCAGAACUCCGAUUGCGAAGGCAGCUUACUAAGCCAUAACUGACACUGAAGCACGAAAGCGUGGGGAGCAAACAGGAUUAGAUACCCGUGUAGUC
rnacentral:rRNA from 1 species